CAGAGCGUAGCUUAGAUGGUAAAGCGUCAGGCUGGGGGUCUGAAGACCGGGAGUUCAAGUCUCCCCGCUCUGA
rfam:Microgenomates (Roizmanbacteria) bacterium GW2011_GWC2_34_23 TR56_C0029, whole genome shotgun sequence.